rnacentral:rRNA from 1 species
GACGAACGCUAGCGGCGUGCCUAAUACAUGCAAGUUGAGCGCUGAAGGUUGGUACUUGUACCAACUGGAUGAGCAGCGAACGGGUGAGUAACGCGUGGGGAAUCUGCCUUUGAGCGGGGGACAACAUUUGGAAACGAAUGCUAAUACCGCAUAAAAACUUUAAACACAAGUUUUAAGUUUGAAAGAUGCAAUUGCAUCACUCAAAGAUGAUCCCGCGUUGUAUUAGCUAGUUGGUGAGGUAAAGGCUCACCAAGGCGAUGAUACAUAGCCGACCUGAGAGGGUGAUCGGCCACAUUGGGACUGAGACACGGCCCAAACUCCUACGGGAGGCAGCAGUAGGGAAUCUUCGGCAAUGGACGAAAGUCUGACCGAGCAACGCCGCGUGAGUGAAGAAGGUUUUCGGAUCGUAAAACUCUGUUGGUAGAGAAGAACGUUGGUGAGAGUGGAAAGCUCAUCAAGUGACGGUAACUACCCAGAAAGGGACGGCUAACUACGUG